GCCCCACCUGCCAACCCACACCUGCUCCCCCCACCUCAUUAAAAACUGCCCAUUUAUUUACCAAUUCCGGCGAACCUCAAUCGGCGACGACUAGGACGAGGUACCGCCGGCAAUCAUGUGCGGCGGCGCGAUCCUCAAGGACCUCAAGGUCCCCGCGCCGGCGCGGAAGGUGACGGCGGCGGUGCUGUGGCCCGAGAAGAACAAGCCCAAGCGGGCCGACGGCGGGGGCUGGCGCCUCGCGGGGCUCGGCCGGCGCGGGGGGCGCGGGCUGGACGACGGCGAGGAGGACUUCCAGGCCGACUUCGAGGAGUUCGAGGCCGACUCCGGGGACUCCGACGUGGAGCUCGGGCGCGCCGGGGUUGCUGGGAAAGACGGCGACGACGAGGUUGUCGAGAUCAAGCCCUUCGCCGCCGUCAAAAGGUCCCUCUCCCAAGAUGACUUAAGCACCAUGACUACUGCUGGUUUUGAUGGUCCUGCACAAAGGUCAGCAAAAAGGAAGAGAAAGAACGAGUUCAGGGGUAUCCGCCAGCGCCCCUGGGGUAAGUGGGCUGCUGAAAUCAGAGAUCCUAGCAAGGGUGUCCGUGUCUGGCUUGGUACUUUCAACAGUGCUGAAGAAGCUGCAAGAGCUUAUGAUGUUGAAGCACGAAGGAUCCGUGGCAAGAAGGCCAAGGUUAACUUUCCAGAGGAACCAACAGUUCCUCAGAAGCGCCGUGCUUGCCCUGCUGCUCCUAAAGUUCCCAAGUCAAGCGUAGCACAGGAACCUACCGUCAUACCAGCAGUCAACAACCUUGCCAACCCAAAUGCUUUCGUCUACCCAUCUGCUGACUUUGCAUCAAAGCAGCCGCUUGUUCAGCCUGACAACAUGCCAUUUGUUCCUGCAAUUAACUCUGCUGCCUCUGUUGAAGCUCCUGUUAUGAAUAUGUACUCUGACCAGGGAAGCAACUCCUUUGGCUGCUCUGACUUGGGCUGGGAGUAUGACACCAAGACUCCAGAUAUAUCAUCCAUUGCUCCCAUUUCCACCAUUGCUGAAGGAACAGAGUCUGCAGUUCUCCAGAGUAAAACCUACAACCCAGCGGUGAUUGCUGAAGGAGCUGAAUCUGCGCCUGUCCAGAGCAACACCUACAACUCAGUGGUGCCUCCUGUUAUGGAGAACAAUGCUGUUGAUUUUGAACCUUGGAUGAGGUUUCUUUUGGAUGAUGGCGUGGAUGAGCCGAUUGAUAGCCUUCUGAAUUUUGAUGUGCCUCAGGAUGUCGUUGGCAACAUGGACCUUUGGAGCUUCGAUGACAUGCCCAUCUGUGGCAAAAUUUUCUGAGGGAUUCAAACCCCUGUAUAUCAGGACAAAGGGAAUAAGACUAUGGGAGAUUGGGAAGCACCCUGUUGUCACCUUUGGUUAGUAUAUGCCUAUGUGCAAGCUUAGAUGCAAAAAAGUCGCAUCCUGAGUCUCUUUAGUAGUCGACCCUUUCCCUAGGUGACUGUCGAUGAACCGUUGUCAUUUAUGAGUCUGACGAACCGUUGUCUUUAUCUUUUGUCAACUCUUAUAUCGUCGCUACCAUUUCUGAAUGUGAACAGCAUGGAUCUGUGUCCAGUUUGCUUUAAUCUGUGGUAAUAGAAGUAACCUAUAUAUCUUA